AGAGCUUGCGCACUGGGAGUGAUCCUGAGCAGCAGUCGCUGUUUCCCUCGACUCCACAAGAGGAUAUUAGAAGGGGAAGACGAACACAACCAAACAUCACGCCCAUUUCAUCACAAAUGGAACAUGAUCAGAUUUUAAACCUGGUAGGAAAACGGUCCAUUCACACUGGAGAGAAACUACGCAUGUUGUGUGUGUGGACAAGGCUUCAGCCAAUCAUCAGACCUCACAAACCACAAAUGCAGUCACACUGGGGUGAAACUGUGGAAAUGUGGAGAUUGUUGGGAGGAAUUCAUUUCCACAUCUGAGCUGAAAACUCAUCGACAGAUUCACGCCAGUAACAGACCAUUUACCUGCUUAAUGUGUCGGGAGGGAUUCACUCAGUAAUCUCACCUGCUGCAAUGCCAGCUCAUUCACACUGAUAAGAGACCAUUUCAAAGCCCAGCCUUUGGAAAAUGCUUCAGAACAUCCCGGAACCUGAUGUCCCAUUAACUAGCUUGCAUUAAUGAGAGACCUUUUAAAUGCCAAAACUGUGGAAAAUGUUAUAAAACCUCUGGAAACUUGGCGGCCCAUCAACAUCUUCACACUGAAGAGAGACCCUUUAAAUGUCGAGACUGGAAAAUACUAUAAAACAUCUGGGGACCUGAUGACCUACCAAAGUGCUCACGUGGAGGAGAGAUCUUUUAAAUGCCCAAACUGUGGGACGUGCUUUAUAAGUCCCAGGGAUCUCUUGUCGCAUCAACUAGCUCACAUUAAUGAGAGACCUUUUAAAUGCUCAGCCUGCAGAAAAUGCUACAAAACCCCCGGACCUGAUAUCCCAUCAACAUGUUCACCCUGAAAAGGUUCUGUCACUCUGGGACUGGGUACAGGUGAUCAUUCAACCUCACAGAACACCAGCAGGUUCACACUGGGAAGAGACCAUUCAGCUGCUCCGAGUGUGGGAGGGGAUUCACUCAGUCGUCUAACCUGCUGAGACACCAGCAAAUUCACACUGGAGAAAUCUUUCAAACGCCCAGACUGCUGGAAGCGGUGCAGAAGCUCCUGGGAACUGAAUUGUCAUCUACAUGUUCAAGCUGAGGAGAGACCUUAUAAAUGCUGCGAUUAUGGGAAUCCCUGUGCAAGAUCAUGGAGGUAGUUUUAUCAUCAAUGUGUUCAAAUUGAGGAGAAACCUUUGAAAUGUCCGGUCUGUGGGAAGUGUUAUCGAAGUUCUGUCGAACUGAUGUCCCAUCAACAUUUUCACAUGAUGAGGUAUCUUUUCGGAGGCUUUCAUUGUGGGACUGGGUUCAGGUGAUCAUCUCAACUCUCAGUAAACCAGCAAGUUCACACUGGGUAGAAUGUAUUUACCUGCUGCAUGUGAGGAAAAAGAAAAGAACACUUGGGUCACUCCUCAGCCCUGCUGAGACAGCACAGAGCCACCCUGGCGAACAGGCCGUUCACCUGCUCUGUGUGGGGGAAGGAAUUCAUUCAUUUGACAAUCCGGCUGGACAACAUAGAGUUCACAGAUCUCAAUGGUUUCUGAAUCAGCUGGCUGCCAAUCUGACAUUUGUUCGUGUCCACGAUUGGAAAGCUGUGCAGGAAAAUUGACGCUUAAGGAGAAAGACAAGGCAGAUAGCUGCUCAGACCUGCACCAAGGAUCAAGGAGAGCGAAACAAGGAGGAAUAGGAAAGCGAGGCUUGUGAGCUCUGGUGAAACACCUUUUCUCUUAUUCAGUCCUCAGCAAGUGAUGUGAAGGUGACUCAGGUGAGAGAGCUUUUCACCUCCUGAACACAAAGCAAUCCCAUCGCGUUAGCACUUUUUUGACAUCUCUGAUUGACUUUUACAUUCUGUCUCUACGUACAGAAUCUGCCUUCUGUGUAUCUCUGGAUAAUUGAGUUGGGAUGUUGAGAUGGCAUAAUGAAAAGGAGCACGAUUUUCCCUCCUAUUAUGUCUUCCAACUUCUCUUCCAAUGAAAAUACGUGGAAUGAAAGAGAAAAAAAAACAGAACAAGCAUAUUGUAUCCGAUGACUCUGUUCCGAGGAAGGGUCACCAGACCCGAAAAGUUAACUGCCUUUUUUCCCUUCACAGAUGCUGCCAGACCUAUUGAGCUUUUCUUGCAAAUUUAUUCUUGUUCCUGAUUUACAGCAUCUGCAGUUCCUUCGUUUUUUUUUAAUCUGGAUGUUUCACUCCCAGAAAUGAGCAAUAAUGCAGUUGGAGCACUCAUUCAGAGUCAGUUAACGUGGGCAAAGGCCCGAGAACACUUGUUUUCACUUUGAACGAGUGUUUCCUUUCGGCAUGUUCAUUGCAACGGUACCUCUGCACCAUUCCCACGUUAGGCAAUCCAACCACAUUUAACAAAACCAGCUUUUUUUCUGGAAAUCUCAUUGGGCAUUGUAGCAAAUGUAAGGUAAAGAAGCUGGGUUUGUCUGGGAGUUGAACACAGUGACUUUUUGCAUAUCUACACUAUAUCAUAAUCUAAGCGAGAAUCAUACCCCUAGACUAACAAGCCCUGCCUGUGUGCACUUGCGUAGCUCUGAACCAGCUGAGACUUACUCAGAGUGAAUUGUCACGAAUGUUGCUCCGGAAAUUCAAACCAACCCAGAGUUUCAAAACAAUUUCCUCUCAUUUUGUCUCCUUGCUCCCAGAAUGGUGCUAUUUGUCCAUUCCAACGAGACUACGUUCUCUUCAUUUGUGUAUUAAACCAUUUUCUUCCACCUAGAUCACAAAACAUUUUGAAAGGUUCACAGACUGGGUUUCUGUUUCGUAUCAUUUCCAUGUUUCCACGUACUAACUGAUUUCCCGCUUAAAUUCUCAUGGCGCUGCUCAGUCUUCAUCAUGCCCAGGGAUGAAAGAAUUCAGUUUUAUGGAGACAUUCCAGAGGCUGAGAUUGUUCUGUUUGGGGCAUAGAAGAUUAAAUGGAGAUUUCAUGGCAUGAGCGUUUGGAUGAAGUAGACAGUGAGAAACUUGCUUCCAAAGACCAGGGGCAGUAAACACUGGGAUUUUUAAACUUUGAAGAUAAAUAGAGGUGCAUUUAUAGAGGACUUUCCAUGUCAUGAAGUCCGUUCACCACGAGAAGAGGUUUUUUGUUCAAAGCUUGCUUCCUUAUUUUGCACAUGUGAUACAUUCGCCACAGCAAACCUGAGGGACCUCAGACUGACCUCGUUCUCAUCAAAAACAGACUUCAUCAGUAAAGAAGAGAGCAAGAUAGAAAAUGCCAGAGAUUGCCCACGCUUUUAACGUGCAGAACCAUUCUCAUUUAUUCUAUCCACACAAAACAGGAAUCAUACCGCUCGAUCAAUGAACCAGCAAACAGCUCAGAACAAUGAACUCUCAGCCAGGUGAGUUUUCUUGUAAGCUAAGGAUAUCCCCAUUGCCUCGGGGAGUGAAAGCAACAUUGAGUUUUAAAAACAGAUUCUUCCCAUUCUAACUCCUUACUCCCUUCUUCCGGGACCAAGCUCUGUCCAUUGGCACCUGGAGUAAGAUAUCUUCCACGUGCAGCUAGUGCUGGAGAAGGGCAGCAUGAACGUGCUCUUCAGUUCUCUGUCAAACCUCCUUGUGAGGAAUGGAAAUUGUGGAAGUCUGUGCAGAAGGCAGAUCGUACUUGCACAGGAACUGACAUUAUGUUGGGAACCUUGUCUAAAUUACUGCAUCUGAGACAGAGCGAAAAAUGCAGAGUUGGUACGAAAGAGAGAAUCCCUCCCAAUAAUAGGGAACUGUUUCUGUAUCUUACUGUCACAGGGAGGUCGCUGCUAUAUGAAUCAGCGGGAAAGUUACUGCAGGGAGUCUUGUCAUUCAGACACACUGUACUAGGUCUGUAUAAACUUCAUGGUGUUGAUCCCAGCUCAGGGAAUAGAUUUUACUUUUCAAAUCAUUCUCAGAGCGACAGAGAAGCAAUUCAGGCCAGCACUUUGACAUCUUCUGGGGAGAACAGGGAUGUGAGAGAGCGGACAGUUUUUACUUUUGUAUAGCAUUUACAAUCUUGGCCUGUGAGACAGUAGAAUCAAUUUGAGAGAUUGCUUCAGUUACAGAGAGCAGGAAACAGUUGAGUUGGUUUACCUUGCUUCUGAAAGCUGUUCAGUAAAUUGCGCAGAGCAACAGACUCUUCUCCUUGGCAUUAGUGAAACGAUAAACAGCAGAGGACGUCUUCCAAAGUAUGGUACCCAGCAGAAUACAACUAAAGAAUUACGAAGUGACAAGGUCUGUUAAAACCAAUUUUGUGAAGAAUUGAAGCCCAGGGACUGAAAAUCCCUGCAAUCGUGGGGAUGUGGCAUUGUUGACUAGGCUCGAGGAGGGUGCACAGUGCUGUUCCCAGGAGUCAGUGUUGGGACCACGUCUAUUCCGGACAGGUAUUAAUGGCCCACAAUUUUGCACAGAGUGGACAUUUCCAAAAUCCUUAAUGUCACAAUUUUAGGAAAGAAAUGUUAUGACUGGAGGAAUUCACAGGAACUAAUUUUUAUUUUCCAGUAAAUCUUCCAUUGCCUGAUCUGAAGCUGGAAAAUUCCAGCUGUGAGAGAAGUGUAGUAAAGUUGAUGAGUUGAUAUUCAGUGGUGUCAAUUAACAUCAUCCUCACCAGGUUAUUGUUUAAAACUCUCAGCUGGAAAAUUCACUCAUAAAAAAGGAACGAGUCUCACCAUUCGAUCGAAUCAUGGCUGAUCUAAACUUCAAUGACAUUUUCCACCCCAUCCACAAAACCCUGUGUACCGUUGGGAACCAGACAUUUAUCAAUCUCCACCUUCAAAAAAUUUCGAAAGUAACAUGUCAACUGUGGAAGGGAAUGUUUGUGCUGCGAGCCAGUUGUGCUUUCUCAUGAACUAUGCAGGUUUAUCAUGUAGGCAACCGAUUCUAGUCUGAAUAUUUUUCAAACAUUAUUAUCCCCAGAAAACCUGCCCCGAAAAUUUGACAAACUUCGCAUGGUCAGCAGUGGGAGCUGGACAACAGGGGGUGACAAUGAAUCGGCUUUUGCAGAUCAUCAUUGACUUCCAUCAAACACAAUCUAAAACUCUGUGGGAGUCAAACCCACAACAUUUGAAAUACAGGGCCAUAAAUCCAUAGAUGUCUGAUACGCUCGCCAUUGUACCUAGAACCUCGCCUACUCGAGCUUUAAAGUACAGAAAGUUGGCUUUGGUACAUCAUCUUUGUGUCUUUUAACAAAAAAAAAAAUUUCCUUGGAAAGAAGGGUCACCAGACCUGAAAAAUAACGCCGAUGUUUCUUCACACAUGUUGACAGAUCUGUCAAACUUUUCUAGCAACUUCUGCUUUUGUAUCUGUUUGCCCUCGUCCCACUUUCCACACUAUCCCUGAGAGAUCUGGCAUUCAUGUGACCAUCUAAACACUCGUAAAAUGUUCUGAUUCUUAGCUUAAGCACACUUUCAGGCAGUGAAUUUCAGAUGCCCAGAACUAUCUGUGGGAGAAACACAUCUUCCUUAAAUCUCCCGUAAACCUUCUGUCACUUGUUUUCAAUCUUUCUUGAAGGUUAAUAAUCAUUUUCAAUAAGCUGAAGUUUAGUCCAAUCUCCCUUAUGUAUCCCCUUCAUAAUUUUAUACAUGUUAAUCUGCUCCCCACUGAGCUUCCUCUGCUGUCAGAAAAAAAAAUAGCCUAGAUCAUCUGUCUUCUCAGCAGAAAUGGUCCAUCCGGGUAAUAUCCUUGCUGAUCUGCUCUGGGCACACUCUAGUACAAUUACACCCUUCCUGUAUCUCGCAAUCAAAAUGGUACAAGGUUCUCUGAGCAAAAUCAGAAAUUUAUGAAGAAAUUCAGUCCAACAGGCAUUAUCUGUGGAAAUGAUUGAUUGAUGGAUGGAUUAUUAUGUGUACCGAAAUACAGUGAAAAGCUUUGUUUACGAGCAGGACAAGCAGAUCAUAGUAAGCAUUGAUUAACACAUCAGAAUUUGCGAAAAGAUCUAGACAGAGGUACAUUGGUUACAUGGCACAGGACAUGGAGUAGGCGAGAUCAAGGGCAGCAAGAUCAACAUUAUUUGUUGUCCUGGGGCUGCGAGUCAAGCGUCGUCAGUACUCGGGUCUGAACAACUGCAGCAUCCUUAACCCGUUUAAAAGAGCAUUAUUAGUAUUGUUUUACAGAUUUAUAUUUCAGUUAAAAUGUAGAACAUUAAUAAGGAAUGGUCAGGUUAUAUCUGCUCUAAGUAUAUCGCAAGGUUAUGAUGUGAUGUUAUGAUGUUAUGAUGUCAGCUCCAUUUUGAAAGCAGGGUUAAUGUUUUGAGAACAGGAACUAUUCAUCAGAACUGAUAGCAUCGAGGAAAAGAUGGCGUAUAAAAUGUACUCCCCUAAGAAAUGUGUCCUGUGUGCAUAUGUCUGAAUAUGAAUAUCCAUGUGUCAUUCUACGCUUCUUAUUGAAAGUUCACCUUAUCUUGAAAAUCCUUCUUUCGCCUUGGAUGGUGCUUCAUUCUCUUCGAGUCUUUCUGACUGCAGUUUAGCUUUUUCCAGGAUGAAAUAUUUCCUCAAAUGUCUAACAUUACAAGUCUACUGACCCAGCUCCUAAGCUAAUUUACCAAUUCAUUGCAGCCAGCCCUAAUUUCGCACUGUUACCAAUUUCCUCACAUAGGUUUCAAGCUGUCAUCUUAGAACCAACCAUCCCUCCCUCAAAGUACACUCAGCCACACCGUGAUCACUGAUACCUCGGUGCGUGUUCGCUAUGAGAUCAUUGAUUAAUCUUGUGCCAUUACAUAUUACCAGGUGUCUUGCUCUCUGAUUGUAUCUGGAAAAUACUGUUCUAAUGAACUAGUCAAUUCAUCAUUCAAUCUACGUUCGCUAAUCUGACUUGUCCAAUGUGUAUGGUCAUUAGAAUAACCAAGGAGCACUGCUUCACUGUAACUUAAAUGAUAAGGACUGCUUUAAUUGUGGCACCGAUGACAAAUUUGAUGUUCCAUCAUUGUUGGUUAGUUGAAAUAUCUUGGAAUCCCCUUUCAGAGAGGUCUGCGUCUGUAUCUGCACCACUUGGAUAGAAGAAUUUCAAGGACGAAGCUCUCUGUCAAACUCUCCAGAGGUUUUGGGGAUGACAAACAAACUCUACCCUUGCCUUCCAAAACACAGAUGAAUAUAUUUUCUUAAAAAUACCAAGAUAUUUUAUGCUUUCACAGUUGGGUCUAUAGUUUCAGAAAGGUAACACCUUGCUGGAUGAGUCUGAUUCCAGCGACACUAAGAGAAUGACAUUACAUUGAGGUUGUGAUUCCCAUCGUUUUGUUUGCCACAUUGCCAGAAGGAUGUGGUAGAUUUGGAGAGAGUGCAGAGAAGGUUCACCAGGAUGUUGGCCAGUCUCGAGGUCAUUGGUAAUGACAAAAUGUUAAAAAGAAUGGGAUUGUUUUUAUUGGAAAGAUGGCGGCUGAGAGGUGACCGAAUAGAGGCCUAGAAAAUUAUGAGAGGCAGAGAUAGGGUGGAUAGUUAGAGGUUUUGAUUUUUUUUCCCAGGGUUGAAGUUUCAAUUUAUAAAGGGGCACAGGUUCAACGUGAGAGGGCAAAAGUUUGAGCAAGAUGUGCGCAAAAAGUUUUUUUUUUCAUAUGGACUGGUAGGAGCCUGGAAUACAUUACCAGAAGAGAUGAUGAAAGGAGGCACGUUGGCAAAAUUUAAAAGAUACUUGGAUGGUUACAUGAAUAGGAAGAGAAUGGAGGGAUACGGAACAAAUGAGGGCAGAAGGUUUUUCUUUAAUUUAGUCAGGUCACCACGAUCAGCGCAGGCUUGGAAAGGUGAAAGGUUUGUUCCUGUGCUGCACUUCUCUUUUGUUUAUUUGUUGUUUGUUUUCAAUUGGUUACUUUCAGAGGAUUGAUCGUAUGAUGUCAGUGUCACUGAGUUUACUAAUUUCAUGGCAAGUCAGCACAACUCAAUAUGUCAUUGAUACUUGGGGAACCUGUCAAACAUAGCAUCUUUAUAGUUACUCAUGUAUUGGCCAUAACCAAAUACUUGAGAGUCGACUGAAAUUGCAGCUUCACUGUACUCGUUCAGAUCAGACAAAAUAUAGUCCAUUUCUUUUCCCAUUCAGGAAGCUGUGCUGGUGAUACUUGUAUAAACAUGGUGUCUGUUUCUUCUUUAAGUUCCAACAAAAACUUUUUUUUUUUGAGAAUAUCCUCCUAAAUUUGUGAAUCUCAGGAAAUUGAUGUUGCUUGAAAAGAUAUUUUAGACGCAGCUGAACUUCAUGAAAAUAAAAACAGGAAUAGAUUAUUGACGAUGACCCAUGCCAUGUUCUUUAUUGAACAAGCCUGUCACCACAUGCUCUGAAAACUUUUAAGAGAAUCCCUUUAGUUUGGAAACAGGCCCUUCAGCCCAACAAGGUCACACUUACUCUCCGAGCUUCACACCAAGACCCUUCCCCCGGAACCACCUAAUCUAUACAUUCUUGAACAUCACAGGCAAUUCAGCAUGGCCAUUCCAUCAGCGUGCAAAUUCUUGAACUGUGGGAGGAAACGGAAGCACCCAGAGAAAACAUAUUGCAGACACAGGAGAACACCCAAACUGCAUACAGUCACCUAAGAAUAGAAUCGAACCGAAGUCCCAGGCACUGUGAGGCAGCAGUCAUAACAACCAUGCCACCUCGUAAUACAUGUCACAGAAUAACUACAGGAAAAAUAGUGGUAACACACCUCUUCAUUACUGCAGGAGGUCCGAAUGAGCUAUAUUUCUACUGUUAUUGUCCAGAAAUCAUCCUGUACCCCUACAUCUAAUAGCUGUAUCUAUAUUUAAUUUCGAAUACCCCGUCCAGAUAUGACCAAUGUUAUCAACAAGCAUACCUUGUUAUAAAGCAGUCUUCAUAUAAAAUAUAUUUCCCGACGACACAUUUAAAAUUAUCCUGCUCUGUUCACAAUGUCUUUGGGCAUUUCAUCUCCCAAAUGUAGUCUGUCUAUUUCCUCUGCAUCACACUUCAUUCUGCCUCCUAAAGAGAGUGCUGGUCAAAAAUUGGUGACUGGGCGAGAUCAUUGUACUCCCCUCCAGUCUCCACCGCCACUGCUUCAUUCCUUUCUGUCUCCUAACCAGCAUCAUGUUCAUUCUGUCAUUAAUCCGUGGGUUUAAAUGGACAGGAUCAUUGUUCAUGCCAAGCCUGGCUUUGGAUUCAAGUUACAAAACCAAUUUGUUAAAAACUUUAAAGCAAAUAAACUUCAAUAAGAUGCUUUUCAGUGUAUUUUAAAA